rnacentral:rRNA from 1 species
UACGUGUGGUGCAAGCGUUAUCCGGAUUUACUGGGUGUAAAGGGAGCGCAGGCGGCACGGCAAGCCUGAUGUGAAAGCCCGCGGCCCAACCGCGGGACUGCAUUGGGAACUACCGGGCUGGAGUGCCGGAGAGGUAGGCGGAAUUCCUAGUGUAGCGGUGAAAUGCGUAGAUAUUAGAAGGAACACCAGUGGCGAAGGCGGCCUACUGGACGGUGACUGACGCUGAGGCUCGAAAGCGUGGGGAGCAAACAGG